UCCAAACGGGCACUUAAAUCUCAAAACUCCAUCCGCUUCCGUCUAUCUCUAUCACAGUUAAAUGGCAGAAGAAACCACCGGGAAGAAGACGGCAACAUCAAAGCCUUCCAAUGUUUCAAAAAGCUUUUCAUCAUAUGGAAAUGGUGGGAUGACGAUUGACGAAUGCCAAGACAUGAUCUCUAAAAGCCUUGGAACGCCAACGGUGAAAUUCCUAAGAGAACAUUUGGAGAAAGCGGGGUGCAUCAUUGGGGAGAAAUUCAUCAAGGCUGUUGAUUGCGACAAACAGAUCAGCGGUGGCUAUGUCCGUGGGGAAGGGAUAUUGGUAUGCAGCAAUCACAUGAAAAUCCAAGAUGAGGUAAACCAAGUUGUUAUCCAUGAGCUAAUCCAUGCGUAUGAUGACUGUCGAGCGGCAAACUUGGACUGGGCAAAUUGUGCCCAUCAUGCUUGUAGUGAGAUUCGUGCUGGCCAUCUAAGUGGUGAUUGCCACUACAAACGUGAAUUAUUGCGUGGAUAUUCGAAAAUACGAGGUCAUGAACAAGAAUGCGUACGGAGAAGAGUGAUGAAAUCGGUGAUUGCCAACCCAUACUGCUCAGAAUCGGCCGCGAAAGAUGCAAUGGAGGCUGUUUGGGAUGUUUGUUACAAUGAUACAAAACCUUUUGAUAGAGCUCCUUAAAUGAAAAUCACCCUUUUUCUUUAUAGAAGUAUACAUGCUACCGGGAAUGAGAAAGAAAACAUUACCCUGAAGAGAGAGAUGCAAUUUGGUCCCAACCAUUGUUCUCGAUUUUUUUUUACAAUUCUAUCAAGCGUCUUUUUCAGUUCUUUUCUUUGUAUUUUACAGAUUUUCUUGGUUGAGGUGUAGCUGCGAUACCACAUUAGGCCUCAUUUUGAAAAGAUCAAGGGCCUCAAAACAAAAACGACAGUCAUAAUUAUUUCACGAGGAAAAAAUAUUCUUGAGGAUUAUAGGAGGCCGACAGGCGACAACUAAACCAGAAAAGCAGGCUUCUAUUUGCCCAAAUAAGCAAGCUCUUUCUCCAUCCGAUGUCUGAAGUCUCAGGUCUGGUGGGUCAUGUCAGGCCAGCUUGGCUGAGGAGGUUAAAGUGGUGGAUUUUCCAGUGGGCAACAUUGUAGAUACUAGGGCUGGUGAGACAGUGAAGAGACUGCUGAGGCUAGGUUCCAAGAUGGCAGCAGCAGCAGCUUGGAUGUUGCAAGUUAGGGUGACGCGCUUGGGGCAGACUUGGAGGCGAUUUCGGGGAAUAGUUGUUUAGAUGGAAGUGGAAGAUUUCAGAAUGGUUUGAGGUAAGAGUUGGAGCCAAUCAGUGCACUUGGGAUGGUUCUUCGGAGUGGUUCUGAAUCUGUUCAGAAGCUAGUGAUGUGGUUGAGUCUGAACUCGAUAGUGCAAGGGAUUUGUAGUGGCAGAUGUCUGAAGUGGUUGGAGAAAGAAUUCCUAGUGGCAGAUGUCUCAAGCUGAUGGGGAAAGCAAAGCGGACCUUUGAGCAGAAGAGAGUGAAAGAGGCCAGCCCUUUUGAAGGGUUAGUUUCCUUUUAAAUUGCUGGCUUUCUAUAUGGUUUUGAGUUGUGGCUGUUUGCGUAUGUGGGUGUGCGUGUGCUAUCUUGUGCGGUUUGGGACCAGCUCAAAGUAGUGGUAAUCUCGGCCAAAUGUGGUAAGGUUGCUGGAUUCAUUGUACAAUAGUUUGUGUAUUGUGAUGUUUGCUGCAGAAGCCCAAGUGUACGCUCCAAAAACUCUUGUCUAAAAAGCGCAGGGAGAAAUGGCAGCCACUAGGCAUUUUUUCUCUUC